GUCAAAGCCGGUUGUCAACCCAGUCCUGUCCUGCAGUCACCUGCCUCUUCUUUUUUGCUUUCAACAUGACAGAUGCCGCUGUGUCCUUCGCCAAGGACUUCUUGGCUGGUGGAAUGGCCGCGGCCAUCUUCAAGUUGGUGGUAGCACCCAUCGAGCGGGUCAAGCUGCUGCUGCAGGUGCAGCACGCCAGCAAGCAAAUCGCGGCAGAUAAGCGAUACAAGGGCAUCGCAGACUGCGUGGUUCGUAUCCCCAAGGAACAGGGAGUCCUGUCCUUCUGGCGUGGUAACCUGGCCAAUGUCAUCAGAUACUUCCCCACCCAGGCUCUCAACUUUGCCUUCAAAGAUAAAUACAAGCAGAUCUUUUUGGGUGGUGUGGACAAGAGGACCCAGUUUUGGCGGUACUUUGCAGGGAACCUGGCAUCAGGUGGUGCUGCUGGGGCCACAUCCUUGUGCUUUGUGUACCCUCUUGAUUUUGCCCGUACCUGUCUAGCAGCUGAUAUGGGCAAAGCUGGAGCUGAAAGGGAAUUCAAAGGCCUUGGUGACUGCCUGGUUAAGAUCUACAAAUCUGAUGGGAUUAAGGGCCUGUACCAAGGCUUUAAUGUGUCAGUGCAGGGCAUUAUCAUCUACCGAGCUGCCUACUUUGGUAUCUAUGACACUGCAAAGGGAAUGCUCCCGGAUCCCAAGAAUACUCACAUCUUCAUCAGCUGGAGGAUUGCACAGUCUGUCACUGCUGUUGCUGGCCUGACUUCUUAUCCUUUUGACACGGUUCGCCGUCGUAUGAUGAUGCAGUCUGGACGCAAAGGAACUGAUAUCAUGUAUACAGGCACGCUUGACUGCUGGCGGAAGAUCAAGACGAAGGAGGCAAGGCCUUUUUCAAGGGUGCAUGGUCCAACGUUCUCAGAGGCAUGGGUGGUGCCUUUGUGCUUGUCUUGUAUGAUGAGAUCAAGAAGGACACAUAAGUAUGUCCUAGGUGUUCUCC